rnacentral:rRNA from 1 species
AGUGAACGCUGGCGGUAGGCCUAACACAUGCAAGUCGAACGGCAGCACAGUAAGAGCUUGCUCUUACGGGUGGCGAGUGGCGGACGGGUGAGGAAUACAUCGGAAUCUACUUUUUCGUGGGGGAUAACGUAGGGAAACUUACGCUAAUACCGCAUACGACCUACGGGUGAAAGCAGGGGAUCUUCGGACCUUGCGCGAUUGAAUGAGCCGAUGUCGGAUUAGCUAGUUGGCGGGGUAAAGGCCCACCAAGGCGACGAUCCGUAGCUGGUCUGAGAGGAUGAUCAGCCACACUGGAACGGAGACACGGUCCAGACUCCUACGGGAGGCAGCAGUGGGGAAUAUUGGACAAUGGGCGCAAGCCUGAUCCAGCCAUAACGCGUGGGUGAAGAAGGCCUUCGGGUUGUAAAGCCCUUUUGUUGGGAAAGAAAAGCAGCAGGUUAAUACCCCGCUGUUCUGACGGUACCCAAAGAAUAAGCACCGGCUAACUUCGUG